rnacentral:rRNA from 1 species
ACCAGCACCUCAAGUGGUCAGGAUGGUUAUUGGGCCUAAAGCAUCCGUAGCCUGCUCUGUAAGUUUUCGGUUAAAUCCAUAUGCUCAACAUAUGGGCUGCCGGGAAUACUGCAGAGCUAGGGAGUGGGAGAGGUAGACGGUACUUGAUAGGAAGGGGUAAAAUCCUUUGAUCUAUUGAUGACCACCUGUGGCGAAGGCGGUCUACCAGAACACGUCCGACGGUGAGGGAUGAAAGCUGGGGGAGCAAACCGG